CCUACGGGAGGCAGCAGUGGGGAAUCUUGCGCAAUGGGCGAAAGCCUGACGCAGCAACGCCGCGUGCGGGAUGAAGGCCUUCGGGUUGUAAACCGCUUUCAGUGGGGACGAAAACAGACGGUACCCGCAGAAGAAGCCCCGGCCAACUACGUGCCAGCAGCCGCGGUAACACGUAGGGGGCAAGCGUUGUCCGGAAUCAUUGGGCGUAAAGAGCUCGUAGGCGGUCUGUCGCGUCUGGUGUGAAAUCCCAUGGCUCAACUGUGGGCGUGCAUCGGGUACGGGCAGACUAGAGUGCGGUAGGGGAGACUGGAAUUCCUGGUGUAGCGGUGGAAUGCGCAGAUAUCAGGAGGAACACCGAUGGCGAAGGCAGGUCUCUGGGCCGCAACUGACGCUGAGGAGCGAAAGCAUGGGGAGCGAACAGGAUUAGAUACCCUGGUAGUCCAUGCCGUAAACGUUGGGCACUAGGUGUGGGGCUCAUUCCACGAGUUCCGUGCCGCAGCUAACGCAUUAAGUGCCCCGCCUGGGGAGUACGGCCGCAAGGCUAAAACUCAAAGGAAUUGACGGGGGCCCGCACAAGCGGCGGAGCAUGCGGAUUAAUUCGAUGCAACGCGAAGAACCUUAC
rnacentral:rRNA from 1 species